rnacentral:rRNA from 1 species
UACGAAGGGGGUUAGCGUUGCUCGGAAUCACUGGGCGUAAAGCGCACGUAGGCGGAUUGCUAAGUCAGGGGUGAAAUCCUGGAGCUCAACUCCAGAACUGCCUUUGAUACUGGCGACCUUGAGUCCGGGAGAGGUGAGUGGAACUGCGAGUGUAGAGGUGAAAUUCGUAGAGAUUCGCAAGAACACCAGUGGCGAAGGCGGCUCACUGGCCCGGUACUGACGCUGAGGUGCGAAAGAGUGGGGAGCAAACAGG